UACGGGGGGGGCAAGCGUUGUUCGGAAUUACUGGGCGUAAAGGGUUUGUAGGUGGUCGGCUAAGUCAGACGUGAAAUCCCUCAGCUUAACUGGGGAACUGCGUCUGAAACUGAUCGGCUCGAGUGCAGGAGAGGAACGCGGAAUUCCAGGUGUAGCGGUGAAAUGCGUAGAUAUCUGGAGGAACACCGGUGGCGAAGGCGGCGUUCUGGACUGCAACUGACACUGUAAAACGAAAGCCAGGGGAGCAAACGGG
rnacentral:rRNA from 1 species